ensembl:snoRNA
UGCACUGCAUGGUAUUUGCACUCAACAGUUAAACCUGCUGGUGUGUUCAAAAGACAGUGCCAUAGAAAUUCAGUAUCUGGCAUUGUUGGUUUUCUUGCCUUUGUGCAUGUUAAACCUGGUAUUGAUACAUUA